rnacentral:rRNA from 1 species
CUACCCUUGACAUGUCUGGAAUGCCUAAGAGAUUGGGCAGUGCUCGCAAGAGAACCGGAACACAGGUGCUGCAUGGCUGUCGUCAGCUCGUGUCGUGAGAUGUUGGGUUAAGUCCCGCAACGAGCGCAACCCUUGUCAUUAGUUGCUACGAAAAGGCACUCUAAUGAGACUGCCGGUGACAAACCGGAGGAAGGUGGGGAUGACGUCAAGUCCUCAUGGCCCUUAUGGGUAGGGCUUCACACGUCAUACAAUGGUCGGGACAGAGGGUCGCCAACCCGCAAGGGGGAGCCAAUCCCAGAAACCCGAUCGUAGUCCGGAUCGCAGUCUGCAACUCGACUGCGUGAAGUCGGAAUCGCUAGUAAUCGCGGAUCAGAANGUCGCGGUGAAUACGUUCCCGGGUCUUGNACACACCGCCCGUCACACCAUGGGAGUGGGUUUUACCAGAAGUAGUUAGCCUAACCGCAAGGAGGGCGAUUACCACGGUAGGAUUCAUGACUGGGGUG